AUGUCAGAUGGCUGGUCCGAUAGAACGGGACGCCACUUGAUCAACUUCCUUGUAAACAGCCCGGCGGGCACUUACUUCUUGGAGUUGGUUGGUGCAUCAAGUGAAUGCCAAGAUGCUCGGAUGAUAGCAGAUUUACUAGAGAAGAGAAUCGAGGAUGUCGAUAAAGAGUAUGGUGUCCAAGUUGUCACCGACAAUGGUGCUAACUACAAGGCAGCGGGCAAGAUACUAAUGCAAAGGAUUCCUACACUAUAUUUGAGUCCAGAUGCAUGCCAUUGCUUGGACCUAAUGUUGGAAGAUAUAGGGAAGCUAAAGGCAUUUAAGAAGCCUAUUGGACGGGGUAGACGAGUCACCACUUUCAUCUAUAGGCAUUGCAGAUUUCUUAAUCUAAUGAGGAAGGCAACGGGUGGGCUGGAUCUUGUGAGACCCGCAGCCACUCGCUUUGCCACAUCCAUUCUUGCUCUUAAGAGUUUGGUCAAGCACAAGCAAGCAUUGAGGAGUCUAUUUACAUGUCAAGCAUGGGUUGGAAACAAAUUGGCCAAAAUUGCAGCCGAUAUGAAUGUGCAAGACAUUGUGCUUUCACCAGAUUGGUGGCAUGCAAUUGAGGACUGCCUUAGAGCUUCAGGUCCACUACUUCGAUUGCUUAGGGUAGCGGAUGGUGAUGAGAUUCCUGCCAUGCCAGAAAUGACAACACUAAUGAGGUUUGCAAAGGAGAAGAUCAAUCAAGGUUUUCCCCACCAAAACAAGCAAGCUUUGCUCAAGAAGAUCAUUGACAUUGUUGACAAACAUUGGGAGCAUCAGAUGGAUCAUCCAUUGUAUGGGGCUGCUUUGUUUUUGAACCCUGGAAAAUACUUCUCUAUUGUUGAGAGUGGUGAUGAUGCCCUAAUUGGGGAGCUAAAAAGUUGUUUUAAUGAUGUCCUUGCACGGACAAUACUUGAUGUCAAUACUCACAACAAGAUUGAUGCACAAGCCGUUCUCUAUGAGGACAAGGGAGGACCCUUCGCUAAUCUGAUGGUAAUCGAUAACAUGGUCCAAAAAAACCCUCUUGAUUGGUGGCGUUCAUAUGGUGGUUGGGCAGCUGAGCUACAAAGGUUUGCAAAGCAUACUGUUAGUCUUUGUGCUUCAUCAUCCGGUUGUGAGAGGAAUUGGAGCGCAUUUGAACAUAUCCAUACCAAGAAAAGGAACCGGUUACAACACCGAAUCUUGAAUGAUAAUGUAUUUGUUUCAUACAUCCGGAAGAACAUGGAUAGGUUUCAAAAGAGGCGUGAGAAGAUGGGUGACAAUGGCUAUGGCCCUCUAGUCAUCGAGGAUUUUGAUUGUAGCAAUGAGUGGGUUGACCCAACAAUAUCUCCACCCCAAGGUGCUCGAGGGUGUCCCGAUGACAUUUCAUGGGAGCUUGUUGAUGAGGCUCGUCACUGCAAGGUCGCAACUUUCCUAGAGCUAGCACCAUGGCAAGGGGGCCCUCAAAUGUUAAUGUCCAGUACCAAAGGCAGCACAAAAGGGCUGCUAUGUCUCCAACAUUUCUUUAUGAAGAUGACGAAGAGGAUGACCAAGAACAACAAUCAAGUAUUCCCAAUGGAGACGAUGAUGAUUCAGACUUUGUUCAAGAUGAUGUUGAUGUGA
rnacentral:rRNA from 1 species